rnacentral:rRNA from 1 species
GCAGCAGCCGCGGGAAUACAGAGGGUGCGAGCGUUAAUCGGAUUUACUGGGCGUAAAGCGUGCGUAGGCGGCUUCUUAAGUCGGAUGUGAAAUCCCUGAGCUUAACUUAGGAAUUGCAUUCGAUACUGGGAAGCUAGAGUAUGGGAGAGGAUGGUAGAAUUCCAGGUGUAGCGGUGAAAUGCGUAGAGAUCUGGAGGAAUACCGAUGGCGAAGGCAGCCAUCUGGCCUAAUACUGACGCUGAGGUACGAAAGCAUGGGGAGCAAACAGGAUUAGAUACCCCUGUAGUCCCUGUCUCUUAUAC